CUUUUAAUCAAUUGGUCGCAGGUUCGAAUCCUGCACGACCCACCAAUGUUUCUGGUGAAAGCGAUAGUAAGCCGUGAAGGAUAACGUUGCGUAAGCAACGGCCCGUAGGGCGAGGCGAAGCCGAGUCAUCCUGCACGACCCACCA
rnacentral:sRNA from 1 species